CGAGCAAUGCCUCCUGCUCCUCUCGAUCCCCUCGACGUACGAUCUGUGAUUGCAGACGCACGAGAUCGCCGCAGCCGCUGCUCCUCCUCUCCCGGGACGCAGCCGCCACCGCCGAACCAGGGAGACGCCAGCGACCGUCGCUGCCGUCGCGGAUCACCAGGAAGCCACCGCCACCGUCGCGCCUCGGAUAUGUCGCGGAUCACCGGGACGCGGCCGUCGCGGAUCAGGAACACCAGGACACCGCCGGCGGCGGCCCCUCGGAUACCGGCAACCGGCGGCGAUUGAGACCAACGAGGCGGCACCACACCCCUGGUACUUCCCUUCCCCAUCCGCCAAUCCUCUACCCCCUCCCCCCCUCCUCUACAAAGGCCCGUGCGGCCCUGUCCCUACGACCUCGCCGGCCACGACCAGGGAUGGCUGUGCAUCCCGACGCCUCUCUUCUCCAUUGAUCCCCCAUCUCCUCAAGGUGAAUCUUCUCCAGAAGGUACCCCUCUCCUCCCCGACGAGUACUCGCUUCCUUACAGGCAGGGGCGGAUCCACCAUGGGACAUGGGUGUACAGAUGCACAUCCAAAUUCUUUUGCCAAAAAUUCGUAUAUAGAGUGGUUGCUGCACUCGCUUUUGGAUGUGGAUGCAAGUUGGGAACUCAUUCAGUGAUUUGAGGGUGCAGGUAGAGAUGAUGCUGCGGAUGGGAUGGGAAGAUGCGUGUGUGCUAGCUGCCAUUGCAGGGACUUUUUAUUUUUCGGAUAGUUCAGCGUCUUAUUACGAAUCUGAUAGUGCUAUCUGCCACACAUACACCAUGUUACGAAUCUAUUUACAUGCGACUCAGAGAAAGAAUUGCUUUGCAGGCUGCCAACAUCACGAAUUUCAUACUUAUGGAGUGGAGCCACCAAACUAUUUAUGAGGAAAUAUGUUGAAGCACCGAAUAUAUUCCAUUUGCAGUGGACAAACAGAACAACACAACACAUAAGCAGAGGAAAGACAUGGUUGCUCUUGCUUCAUCUAAAUAGGCCGUCUGGAAUGCCAUGAGACCAGGUUGUACUAUCAUUUUGAAUUUGUUUACUAACACCACAACUACCACAUCCUCGCUAAACGACAGAGGUUGCUAGCAACUGCACGUGGAAAGAUUGAAUGUGAUAUUCUGUCUACUAAUCAAUAGUGUAUUACUAAAACUACAUAUUGAUGACUUUUUAAACAACAUAUAGUAUUGUCCCCAGUUCUGCUUGAUUUGAUUUGUAUUUCCCAUCAGUUUUGUGUUUUGUCAGAGAAUGGUUUUUCUUUACCUACGGUAGUCCCUGUACUCAGGUAAAUCCUUUUGCAUCAUUUCACUAUUGGUUCUGUCGUAAUUGUAUUAGAUUGGGAUUGCAACAUGUGGGCUCCAACAAACAUAAUUUCAAAAUUGCACGUUAUUUGUAUGACAUAAAACUAAAUGAGAUAUCACUCAACUCACAUGAACUUUGGAUAACAUUGUAGUUAAACAUUGAUUACUUGCAAUGCAUUAGCAACCCCAAAAUGUUAGAACUGAAUCUUGAACGCUUGUAACAAAAUUUUACCAUCCUCAAGAAUUUAAAGAGAAAGAAAGGUUUGCACUUACAUUCCUGUUAGUCCACUGCCAAUUCAUAGUAUUGUUAGGAUUUCUGGGAUCCUACAUUUUGACUAUUUAGCUGAUCCCAAGUUAUUUAUAUAGUUUUAUCCCAUUACAUCAGAUCUUUUUGGUUGCACGUAUUAAUUUACUGAUUGUGUACUGGAAGCAAUUUACUGACUUGUGUAGUAUUUAGCUGAUCCAAGGUUAGGCUUUUAAGUUUUCUCUCAUUACACCAUUGCAUUUUAGAAUUUUGUAGCUAAAAGUUUCUAUUAAAUUGGUGCCCGUAUUAGAGGGAGGCAUCGGUUAACUAAGCAUAUCGUCGCAUGUAUAGAGACCUCCAGUCCAGCAUGUCAAGGUUGC